GGUAAAGAGAGCGUUUUCCCAAAGAAAAUAACAUAGCACAGAAGGAAAAAUAAAAAGAAAUUGCUGCAGAUUUUACUUUAUGUGAGAAAAUCUACAAUUUCUUCGAGACACUCAUAUAAAGGAAGCAGUCAUGUUUCAUGAGUCCUCAAAACUGAGACAAGAGAAUGUAGUAGAGUGAGGCCAGAAGUCCUUACUGGUUCAAAGAACUCCGGGGAAACUGGGAUAGAACAUUUUACAUUAUAAGUAGAACCCUGGGAGCCAGAGGUGAAUACAAGUUUAUCUGCAGAGCUCCGCUGCAGGGCUGAUCUGGGUCUGGAAGAAAUGGAUGAGAGCCAGUGGAUGAAAUUCACUAAUACUAGACAUCUGAGUCCUCUAGUAAUGUAUAAAUAUCCUAACUAUUGUUUG
rnacentral:lncRNA from 1 species